rnacentral:rRNA from 1 species
GACGAACGCUGGCGGCGUGCUUAACACAUGCAAGUCGAACGGAAAGGCCCUGCUUUUGUGGGGUGCUCGAGUGGCGAACGGGUGAGUAACACGUGAGUAACCUGCCCUUGACUUUGGGAUAACUUCAGGAAACUGGGGCUAAUACCGGAUAGGAGCUCCUGCUGCAUGGUGGGGGUUGGAAAGUUUCGGCGGUUGGGGAUGGACUCGCGGCUUAUCAGCUUGUUGGUGGGGUAGUGGCUUACCAAGGCUUUGACGGGUAGCCGGCCUGAGAGGGUGACCGGCCACAUUGGGACUGAGAUACGGCCCAGACUCCUACGGGAGGCAGCAGUGGGGAAUAUUGCACAAUGGGCGGAAGCCUGAUGCAGCAACGCCGCGUGCGGGAUGACGGCCUUCGGGUUGUAAACCGCUUUCGCCUGUGACGAAGCGUGAGUGACGGUAAUGGGUAAAGAAGCACCGGCUAACUACGUGCCAGCAGCCGCGGUGAUACGUAGGGUGCGAGCGUUGUCCGGAUUUAUUGGGCGUAAAGGGCUCGUAGGUGGUUGAUCGCGUCGGAAGUGUAAUCUUGGGGCUUAACCCUGAGCGUGCUUUCGAUACGGGUUGACUUGAGGAAGGUAGGGGAGAAUGGAAUUCCUGGUGGAGCGGUGGAAUGCGCAGAUAUCAGGAGGAACACCAGUGGCGAAGGCGGUUCUCUGGGCCUUUCCUGACGCUGAGGAGCGAAAGCGUGGGGAGCGAACAGGCUUAGAUACCCUGGUAGUCCACGCUGUAAACGGUGGGUACUAGGUGUGGGGUCCAUUCCACGGGUUCCGUGCCGUAGCUAACGCUUUAAGUACCCCGCCUGGGGAGUACGGCCGCAAGGCUAAAACUCAAAGGAAUUGACGGGGCCCCGCACAAGCGGCGGAGCAUGCGGAUUAAUUCGAUGCAACGCGUAGAACCUUACCUGGGUUUGACAUGGAUCGGGAGCGCUCAGAGAUGGGUGUGCCUCUUUUGGGGUCGGUUCACAGGUGGUGCAUGGCUGUCGUCAGCCCGUGUCGUGAGAUGUUGGGUUAAGUCCCGCAACGAGCGCAACCCUUGUUCACUGUUGCCAGCACGUUAUGGUGGGGACUCAGUGGAGACCGCCGGGGUCAACUCGGAGGAAGGUGGGGAUGACGUCAAGUCAUCAUGCCCCUUAUGUCCAGGGCUUCACGCAUGCUACAAUGGCUGGUACAGAGAGUGGCGAGCCUGUGAGGGUGAGCGAAUCUCGGAAAGCCGGUCUCAGUUCGGAUUGGGGUCUGCAACUCGACCUCAUGAAGUCGGAGUCGCUAGUAAUCGCAGAUCAGCAACGCUGCGGUGAAUACGCUCCCGGGGCU